rnacentral:rRNA from 1 species
UACGGAGGGUGCAAGCGUUAAUCGGAAUUACUGGGCGUAAAGCGCGCGUAGGUGGCUUGUUAAGUUGGAUGUGAAAUCCCCGGGCUCAACCUGGGAACUGCAUCCAAAACUGGCAAGCUAGAGUAUGGUAGAGGGUGGUGGAAUUUCCUGUGUAGCGGUGAAAUGCGUAGAUAUAGGAAGGAACACCAGUGGCGAAGGCGACCACGUGGACUGAUACUGACACUGAGGUGCGAAAGCGUGGGAAGAAACAAGG